rnacentral:rRNA from 1 species
AUUGAACGCUGGCGGCAUGCCUUACACAUGCAAGUCGAACGGUAACAGGUCUUCGGAUGCUGACGAGUGGCGAACGGGUGAGUAAUACAUCGGAACGUGCCUAGUAGUGGGGGAUAACUACUCGAAAGAGUGGCUAAUACCGCAUGAGAUCUACGGAUGAAAGCAGGGGAUCGCAAGACCUUGUGCUACUAGAGCGGCCGAUGGCAGAUUAGGUAGUUGGUGGGAUAAAAGCUUACCAAGCCGACGAUCUGUAGCUGGUCUGAGAGGACGAUCAGCCACGCUGGGACUGAGCAACGGCCCAGACUCCUACGGGAGGCAGCAGUGGGGAAUUUUGGACAAUGGGCGCAAGCCUGAUCCAGCAAUGCCGCGUGCAGGAUGAAGGCCUUCGGGUUGUAAACUGCUUUUGUACGGAACGAAAAGCCCUGGGUUAAUACCCUGGGGUCAUGACGGUACCGUAAGAAUAAGCACCGGCUAACUACGUGCCAGCAGCCGCAGUAACAC